GCACAGGGGGCAGUGGGGGGGGGGCAGGGCCAUUCCCCCUCCCGGGCCCCAGGACUCCCCACGCAGUCCGGGGCCAGCUGUGCCUGAGCGCCAGGGUCCCCUGGGUGCUGCUGGGAGCAGGGGCAGCAGGCCCGAGCUAAGCAGGCUCCGAGCACCUCGGGGAGGAGGACCGCGGUGGCCUUCGUCCCGGGCAGUGGAGCCACAGAGGGCAGAGGCAGGGCAGGCUGCACGGGCGCGUCCUGAGACCACUCUCGCUGCCGCAGAGGAGCUGCUGAGCCUGAGCCUUGGCCUCCCUGCUGGCCGGGCCUCCCGACCCCGGCUCAGGGCUCCUGGGGGGCCUCGGCCCUCGUGGUUACCUUAGCAACACAAACCACCUCAUCCACCCACACCGCUGUGCGCCAGGCCUGUUCCUGCCUGUCCACAUCCCGGCGACACAGACCUGCGGGACAGCCGGGCAGGUGCCCUGCGCCUCCGUCCCCAGGAGCCCCCCAGGGUUUCCAGGUGGGCCUGCGUCUGUCUCCCCCAGGUGCAGCUGGACGCCCUGCACCAGGCCCUCGAACAGAGCAGGCGGCACAGCCAGGGCCUGGCCAGAAAGCUGAGGCUGCUGGAAGACUGCAGGUGCCAGGAGGCCGCGGGGCUGGAGCCCCUGCAGCAGGCCCAGACGGCGGGGCGGGAGCCGUCUGCCCAGCACCAGCAGGACCCGGCUGGGGAGGCAGAGCGUCCGUGUGCGGCUCGGCUGCAGGCCCUGCAGGCCCCGGAGUCCCCCGAGCAGCCCCAUCAGCGGCAAAUAAAGGUGCUGGAGGAGCAGGUAGGGCCGGGUCCCCACCCCCGGGGGCACAGGGAAGGGAGGACUCGCACCCGCAGCAGCACCCGAUCGGGUGGCAGCCUGGGCUCUGCUGGACCCCUCCGGCCACGGGGCGCUCUCUGCUGCCGGCCGGGGGCCACGUGGCUCCGGCCCCCCUGCACCUCUGCCCCCCAAGGGCACAGGGCUGUGUGGCCUGUGUCACCCUCGCUUGGAGGCGGGGUGUGCGUGCUGGGCAGUGUCACACCCUCUCUGUGCCCGUCUGCAAGCGGGGUGGUGAGGACGGUCCCGUCGGGGUCGCAGGGCAUGAGGUGCCGAGAGGCCGCCCCACGCACGAGGUUGUCACUCAGAGCCGUCGCCAGGGCAGCGGCACACACGGGGGGAACACGGGCACGGCACGCUUGCCCCGGCCGAGCCUGGAGCUCGCAGCUGUCAGGGUCAGGGCGCUCUCUGGGCAAACCCUCGUUUGCAGAGGAGGAAACCGAGGCACAGAGAGGGGGAGUCACGGCCCAGCGUCGUUCCCGUGUUAGCGUCCCCGACACAUCAAAACACGUCUGCUAAGCUUACGAGCAGAGGGACGUUUAUUUCCGCAGCAUCCCGAGCGCUUUUGUGGCCGGGAUGGAAGGGGGUCGGUCUGCGGUGGGGUGUGGUGGCCCCGGGCCCAGGGCCCCAGGACGGGUGUUGGCAGCAAAAGCAGGAACUGCACGCCCUGCCUGCUGGUCCGUCUGUCCCUCUGCCUGGCGACUCUCCCUAGGCACCGUGGGCUGUGGCCUCCCGCCCUUCCUGCCACGGAGCUCUCCGCACCCCUUUGCCUCGGGGCCCAGGCCAGGCCCGCCCGCCCCACUGAGCCCCUGCCCUGUCCCCAGGUGGCCGCCCUGCGGGAGCAGCUGGACCGGGAAGAGCAGCGGCGGCAGCCACAGGCACAGGACGGCCAGGCCGGGCAGUGAGCCCUGUGCGGCCCGCCGGGAGCCACUGCUGGGAACACCAGCCCGUGCUCCGCACCAAGCGCCCAUCAGGGGCCAAUAGGGUGGGCGUGAUGCUGGCAGAGGGUGCAGGGUGUGUGCCCGCACCCUGGAGCCCCCGGGGGGGGGGCGGGCACACGCUGACCCCUCGGACUGCGGGACUCCUCCCGCCCCCGGGGGCCUCGGCCUGCAGCUGGCGCCGGACCUGCCGGGCUCACUCCUCUGCGACAGCCCCAC
rnacentral:lncRNA from 1 species